rnacentral:rRNA from 1 species
UACGUAGGGGGCAAGCGUUGUCCGGAAUCAUUGGGCGUAAAGAGCGUGUAGGCGGCUCGGUAAGUCUGCUGUGAAAGUCCAGGGCUCAACCCUGGAAUGCCGGUGGAAACUGUCGAGCUAGAGUCCGGAAGAGGCGAGUGGAAUUCCUGGUGUAGCGGUGAAAUGCGCAGAUAUCAGGAGGAACACCGAUGGCGGAGGCAGCUCGCUGGGACGGUACUGACGCUGAGACGCGAAAGCGUGGGGAGCAAACAGG